rnacentral:rRNA from 1 species
CCUACGGGUGGCAGCAGUGAGGGAUAUUGGUCAAUGGGGGAAACCCUGAACCAGCAACGCCGCGUGAGGGAAGACGGUUUUCGGAUUGUAAACCUCUGUCCUCUGUGCAGAUAAUGACGGUAGCAGAGGAGGAAGCUCCGGCUAACUACGUGCCAGCAGCCGCGGUAAUACGUAGGGGGCAAUCGUUGUCCGGAUUUACUGGGUGUAAAGGGUGAGUAGGCGGCUUUGCAAGUCAGAAGUGAAAUACAUGGGCUUAACCCAUGAACUGCUUUUGAAACUGCAGAGCUUGAGGGGAGUAGAGGUAGGCGGAAUUACCGGUGUAGCGGUGAAAUGCGUAGAGAUCGGGAGGAACACCAGUGGCGAAGGCGGCCUACUGGGCUCUAACUGACGCUGAGGCACGAAAGCGUGGGUAGCAAACAGGAUUAGAUACCCUGGUAGUC